GAUGAACGCUGGCGGCGUGCUUAACACAUGCAAGUCGAACGAAGCAAUCAGACGGAAGUUUUCGGAUGGAAGACUGGUUGACUGAGUGGCGGACGGGUGAGUAACGCGUGGGUAACCUGCCUCAUACAGGGGGAUAACAGUUAGAAAUGACUGCUAAUACCGCAUAAGCGCACAGUAUCGCAUGAUACAGUGUGAAAAACUCCGGUGGUAUGAGAUGGACCCGCGUCUGAUUAGCUAGUUGGUGGGGUAAAGGCCUACCAAGGCGACGAUCAGUAGCCGGCCUGAGAGGGUGAACGGCCACAUUGGGACUGAGACACGGCCCAAACUCCUACGGGAGGCAGCAGUGAGGAAUAUUGCACAAUGGGGGGAACCCUGAUGCAGCAACGCCGCGUGAAGGAAGAAGGGUUUCGGCUCGUAAACUUCUAUCGACAGGGAAGAAGAAUGACGGUACCUGAAUAAGAAGCCCCGGCUAACUACGUGCCAGCCGCCGCGGUAAAAC
rnacentral:rRNA from 1 species